UUUAAUGUGGCAGAAUAGUGCAACGAAUUUAAGCCUCGUGUAUAAAUAAAUUUCUUUAAAA
rnacentral:tRNA from 1 species